rnacentral:lncRNA from 1 species
GGGACCCACAGGAUCGGUCGAGGCGGGAGGCGAGCUCGCAGAAACUUCGGAGGCGACGUUUCCGUGCUGGACGAUGUGCUGCCUAAGGCGCGUGCGCGGCUGCGGAAAGCUGCGAGCUGUGGGCGUGGUCCAAGACAUGGUGGGCCUCCCACCAUGGAUGGAGCGCGAGCAGUGUCUUCUGAAGAGGAAGCCACCACCCUGGAGGCAUGACAGCGGCAGCCGGCGGCGCACAAACAUCCAGCGGCGGCCUGGCAGCAGCGCAGCGCUCGCAACCCACCACAGAACACCCCCCAAAGAAAGGAGCACCGCUGUUAGGCGCCGGCCGCUGCCGUCGUCCUGUCUGGAAACACCGCCGCUGCUCGCCGACGGGCGGCUUCCUCCAUGGGUGGCGGUUACCGGACAGAGGAACGUCUUCGCUGCCAGCACCUGAUGCCCGGUGCUGGCAGCCCAGCGCGGGAGUGAAGCUGUUGGGCGCUGGCCGGCGGCCGUCGCCCGGCGUGUGAGUGCCGCUCCUGCCGUCGUCCGGUCUGGAAGCGCCGCCGCUGGUCUCCGACGGGCGGCCUCCUCCCGCCGGUGGGAGGCCGUCACCUGGCACAGAGGCUUCGUCGCUGUGCGCCGCCCUCUGUAGGAGCGAUGACGUUGCAAACCGGCGGGCGGCCGUCGCUCGGCAAAGGGCUGCCAUGGCAAGCUGGCAGGAUGAAGGCGACUUUGCCAAGAUGACAAACCUAUCUGCGUGUGUCUCCGAUCUGGCGUGACGUGGUCGUUGCACGCCCGAUGCGCGGCCAGCCUGAUGGAUACGCGCCCAGCCUUAUCGAUAUGUUUCGUGGUCGAAUUGCGCAAAUGGUGAUAUAGCCGCAUUGUAUUCACGAGCCCAAGCUGAACGUGCUGCGUGGGGGCUGUGGCGAGAAUUGGGAGUGGGAAGCCUUUGAUUUCGUAGUGACUGGGUUAGUACAUAGUUGUUGCUCCAACCUUUAACCUAGGUUUCGCGUGGCCCCAGUCCUUGGCACGCGAGGAGCGAAGAGCCAGCCGGUUGCCUAGGCGAGUACUGAUGCCGGACUGUUGCGUGGAGCGUCGGGCGGUCG